rnacentral:lncRNA from 1 species
GCGCCCCGCAGGGCGAGACCAUCAGCUGCCUUUCACUUAAACCAAAGACAAGGGGCGGCGGUGCAGAAAUGUCCUGGUUCGGUUUUAGGUUAAUGGGAGUUUGAAAGGUGUUAGCCAAGAAAUAGGAUUUUUUUUCACAGGGAUCUUGGGAAGCAGAAGUCGUCGUUGUGUGAAGUUGAGAUACUGCGUCAAAGAUCAAAUUCUACCCUUACGCCAAAACAACGUUUAAGCUGACAAAAGUUUCCUUGGGAGUGUGACGGGGAGA